rnacentral:rRNA from 1 species
CACGUAGGGUGCGAGCGUUGUCCGGAAUUAUUGGGCGUAAAGAGCUCGUAGGCGGUGUGUCGCGUCGGCCGUGAAAACCUGCAGCUUAACUGUGGGCUUGCGGUCGAUACGGGCAUCACUGGAGUUCGGCAGGGGAGACUGGAAUUCCUGGUGUAGCGGUGAAAUGCGCAGAUAUCAGGAGGAACACCGGUGGCGAAGGCGGGUCUCCUGGGC